UACGAAGGGGGCUAGCGUUGCUCGGAAUGACUGGGCGUAAAGGGCGCGUAGGCGGAUUUGUCAGUCAGACGUGAAAUUCCUGGGCUUAACCUGGGGGAUGCGUUUGAGACGGCGGGUCUAGAGUUUGGAAGAGGGUCGUGGAAUUCCCAGUGUAGCGGUGAAAUUCGUAGAUAUUGGGAGGAACACCGGUGGCGAAGGCGGCGACCUGGUCCUGGACUGACGCUGAGGCGCGAAAGCGUGGGGAGCAAACAGG
rnacentral:rRNA from 1 species